CUCCAUUCUAGACUGGCUCCAAGCAAAGUCUAGCCACUGCCCAAGAAUUAUCCGUUUAACGAGGAAUUUUAUACCCUUGCUCACGUUUAUUAAUGUCUUCCACGUUGGAAAAACCUUUCAUAACAUUGUAUUACAAUGUAUUACUGAACGUUUAUGCUUUCAAAUCGACGACUAUAACUGUCCAGUUCGUCCGUAUAUCCAAUUUUGUUAUACAUCUGUUAUACAUCUUGCGAUUAUGGGUAUCUAAAUCAACAUAGAUCACGAUCGAAGGUAAG
rnacentral:lncRNA from 1 species